rnacentral:tRNA from 1 species
UGGCUCAGAGGUUAAAGCGUCUGCCUGCAAUGCAGGAGACCCAGGUUCCAUCCCUGG